GUGCUUGCUUUCGCAACACAUAUAAUAAAAUUUAAACAAUACAUAGACAAUUAGCAUAACUCAUGUGCAAAGGUCACACGCAGUUUCUUGAGACACUUCUUAUUUUG